ACAAGCGGUGGAGCAUGUGGUUUAAUUCGAAGCAACGCGAAGAACCUUACCAGGCCUUGACAUGCAGAGAACUUUCCAGAGAUGGAUUGGUGCCUUCGGGAACUCUGACACAGGUGCUGCAUGGCUGUCGUCAGCUCGCGUCGUGAGAUGUUGGGUUAAGUCCCGUAACGAGCGCAACCCUUGUCCUUAGUUACCAGCACGUUAUGGUGGGCACUCUAAGGAGACUGCCGGUGACAAACCGGAGGAAGGCGGGGAUGACGUCAAGUCGUCAUGGCCCUUACGGCCUGGGCUACACACGUGCUACAAUGGUCGGUACAAAGGGUUGCCAAGCCGCGAGGUGGAGCUAAUCCCAUAAAACCGAUCGUAGUCCGGAUCGCAGUCUGCAACUCGACUGCGUGAAGUCGGAAUCGCUAGUAAUCGUGAAUCAGAAUGUCACGGUGAAUACGUUCCCGGGCCUU
rnacentral:rRNA from 1 species